CUCACUCACCUAGAUUUCUUAUAAUACUGGUUGUUGACUUAUUUUUUACAUCAAUGACCUUUCUAAAUGAUCAAACAAAAAAAUCACCAAUGUUAAACUAUACAUAAACAUCACUUGGAAUUGAAUCAAGAAUCCUACACGACAAACGUUUCGAUCCAAUGAUCAUCAUACUGUGAAAAUUAAUCACAAUUAUUGCUGAUAUGGAGAAAAAUACCGUUUUUAUUUCUCUCUUUAUUCAAAUCGUGUAAAAUAAAGUAAAUUUUACGGAAAACAGUAAUUUGUUGUCAACAAAAUACAAUUAUUUGUAAUGAUAAUAUCUAUUUGGUUAUCUCUGCUAACU